rnacentral:siRNA from 1 species
AGAUCUUUUUCAGUUGAUGUCAAUC